rnacentral:rRNA from 1 species
AUGAAACCUCUGGAUGACGAUCACUCAAAAAAGCUAUUUUUUAACAGACUCUUUGGCUCUGAAAGUGAUUGUCCUGAAGAAUUGAAACAAGUUUGUGUUGAAAUUGCUGAAAUUUGUGAUGGUUUGCCGCUAGCCACAAUCAGCAUAGCUAGUCGUCUACUAAGCCAGGCUGUCAUGUCAAAUGAUCUCUUCACAUACAUCCAUCAGUCGUUAAUCUCUUGUUUCUCUGCGGUGCCUACUUCUGAAAGAACUAGACAAGCACUGAAUCUGAGCUACAAUAAUCUUCCUCGUUAUUUGAAGACAUGCCUGCUCUACCUUAUUAUGUAUCCAGAGGGCUACACGUUCUUAAAAGAUGAUUUGGUGAAGCAAUGGGUGGCUGAAGGUCUGAUCUAUACAGCAGAAGGGCAAGACAUUGAGAAAGUUGCUGAAAGCUAUCUCUAUCAACUUAUUGGUAGAAGCUUCAUCCAGCCGAUAUGUGUCAACUACAACAAUGAGGUGUUGUCCUGUCAAGUGCAUGGCUUGGUACAUGAUCUUAUUGCACAUAAGUCUGAAGAAGAGAAUUUCAUCGUGGCAAUAGACUAUAGCUGUCGAAAGAAUGUGUCACUUUCUCAUAAAGCCCGUCGACUCUCGCUCAUAUUUGGCGAUGCGAGAUAUGCUAAGACACAAGCAAACAUCAGAAAAUCACAAGUUCGGUCAGUUAGAUUUUCUGGAUUACUUGAGUCUAUGCCUUGUCUUACAGAGUUCAAGCUUGUGCGUGUCCUAAACCUUCAACUAUCUGGUCAAGGCUGCCGUGGUGAUGAUAUAGCAGACCUCAGUGGGAUUUCAGAAAUGUUUCAACUGAGAUAUUUGAAGAUCGCGUGUGAUGUCUGCAUCAAACUGCCAAACCAUGUG